GAUGAAGAACGCAGCGAAAUGCGAUAAGUAGUGUGAAUUGCAGAAUUCAGUGAAUCAUCGAAUCUUUGAACGCACAUUGCGCCCUUUGGUAUUCCUUAGGGCAUGCCUGUUCGAGCGUCAUUUAAACCUUCAAGCUAAGCUUGGUGUUGGGUGACUGUCCGCUUCACGGCGGACUCGCCUCAAAAUUAUAGGCGGCCGGUACAUUGGCUUCGAGCGCAGCAGAAACGCGAACUCGGGCCCGUCGUAUUGGCUCCCAGAAGCUAUCUUCACAAUUUUGACCUCGGAUCAGGUAGGGAUACCCGCUGAACUUAAGCAUAUCAAUAAGCGGAGGA
rnacentral:misc_RNA from 1 species